rnacentral:piRNA from 1 species
CUGGUGCAUGCCAUCUGGUUGGCUGUUGAA